GAUUAACGCUGGCGGCGUGCCUAACACAUGCGAGUCGAGCGGCAGCGAGUUUUACACUGCUUUCUGGAAGCUCCUAGUUGAAAGAGAAGAUUUAUUCAAGAAUUUUGUGUAAAAUGUCGGCGAGCGGCGGACGGCUGAGUAACGCGUGGGAACGUACCCCAAAGUGAGGGAUAACGCACCGAAAGGUGUGCUAAUACCGCAUAUGGUCUUCGGAUUAAAGCCUUCGGGCGCUUUGGGAACGGCCUGCGUAAGAUUAGAUAGUUGGUGGGGUAAUGGCCUACCAAGUCGACGAUCUUUAACUGGUUUGAGAGGAUGAUCAGUCAGACUGGAACUGAGACACGGUCCAGACUCCUACGGGAGGCAGCAGUGAGGAAUCUUCCACAAUGGGCGAAAGCCUGAUGGAGCAACGCCGCGUGCAGGAUGAAGGCCUUCGGGUUGUAAACUGCUUUUAUAAGUGAGGAUUAUGACAGUAACUUAUGAAUAAGGAUCGGCUAACUACGUG
rnacentral:rRNA from 1 species